UAAGAGUGUGGAAACCUCUAUCUCGCAGACAUGUUUUAAUAACAUUGAGGGAAAACUCGAAAGGGAAAGCCCAAAGAGAACAAUUUCUGCUAGAGGUGGACUUG